rnacentral:rRNA from 1 species
AGUUUGAUCCUGGCUACAGAACGAACGCUGGCGGCAGGCCUAACACAUGCAAGUCGAGCGAACCCUUCGGGGUUAGCGGCGGACGGGUUAGUAACGCGUGGGAAUAUACCCUUUGGUACGGAAUAGCCUCGGGAAACUGAGAGUAAUACCGUAUGUGCCCUUCGGGGGAAAAAUUUAUCGCCAAAGGAUUAGCCCGCGUUGGAUUAGAUAGUUGGUGGGGUAAUGGCCUACCAAGUCUACGAUCCAUAGCUGGUUUGAGAGGAUGAUCAGCAACACUGGGACUGAGACACGGCCCAGACUCCUACGGGAGGCAGCAGUGGGGAAUCUUAGACAAUGGGCGCAAGCCUGAUCUAGCCAUGCCGCGUGGACGAUGAAGGCCUUAGGGUUGUAAAGUCCUUUCAGAUGGGAAGAUAAUGACGGUACCAUCAGAAGAAGCCCCGGCUAACUCCGUG